UCUUGGUUACCGUUACCUGAGUGAGUGAAUCAAACAAACCAGCGACAGUCCCAUUACAGCCGCAAAUGCGGGGUAAGUCGUGAGUUCCGCAGCUCUGGGUGAGAAUUCCAUACUUUAACAAAUUAGAUAGAUGAUAUUUUGAAGGGAGAAAUCCGCUUUCAAGAAAAAGAUCUUUACUUCACACAAUCUCGAUUUGAAUUAUCAUUUGGUGAACCGGGCAUCUCGGACAAAGCCUCAUUACGUUAACGGAGCCCCAACCAAACACCUCCUGGGUGGUUUUGGUAGGGUUCUUGGGGGCUCCAAAUGCAUGGGCCAAGUGCAAAGAUAAGCAAACGGAACGUAAAAAGACAUGUCGUGUUGUCGACAAUGUUUCAUCAACUCUCGCAAAAUGUGUUUUGCCAAAAGAAGUUGUCGAGAUAUCCAAGAGUUCAAAGUCAACGAAAGACAUUUCUUUCGACAGCAUUGCUACCACUUCUAUACCAACACAAAAGGUUCAGGUGCCCCCAUUGUUUUCAGCCGUCCACUGGGAGUUAUUUCUCCCGUCCAAACUCCAUCAGUAUAACUGCAAAGAAUGAAAC
rnacentral:lncRNA from 1 species